CACGUUACCCUUACACAAGCAAAUUCCUGGAAAGAUUAAAAGAGAGGGAAGGAACUCGGCAAAUUUUAACCCCGCCUGUUUACCAAAAACAUCGCCUCUUGACAAAAUAUAAGAGGUCCAGCCUGCCCAGUGAUAUACUUAAACGGCCGCGGUACCCUGACCGUGCAAAGGUAGCAUAAUCAUUUGUUCUUUAAAUGAGGACUUGUAUCAACGGCAUUACGAGGGUUAUACUGUCUCCCCUUUCUAAUCAGUGAAACUGACCUCCCCGUGAAGAGGCGGGGAUAAAAACACAAGACGAGAAGACCCCAUGGAGCUUUAAACCCAAUAACAACUCUCUCUAAAUAACCUUUAAAGACACAGACGCACUGUUUAUUGGUUUUAGGUUGGGGUGACCACGGAGUAUAAAUUAACCUCCCUGACGAAUAGAUAUCAUCUUUAUCCAAGAGCCACUGCUCGAAGAAUCAAAAAUUUGACAUUACAUGAUCCGGCAACCGAUCAACGAACCAAGUUACCCUGGGGAUAACAGCGCAAUCCAUUUCAAGAGCCCCUAUCGACAAAUGGGUUUACGACCUCGAUGUUGGAUCAGGGUAUCCCAGU
rnacentral:rRNA from 1 species